CUACGGGCGCAGCAGUGGGGAAUAUUGCGCAAUGGGGGAAACCCUGACGCAGCGACGCCGCGUGAGUGACGACGUCUUUAGGGAUGUAAAGCUCUGUCACGAGGGACGAUUAUGACGGUACCUCGAGAGGAAGCCCCGGCUAACUACGUGCCAGCAGCCGCGGUAAUACGUAGGGGGCGAGCGUUAUCCGGAAUUAUUGGGCAUAAAGAGCACGUAGGUGGAAUGUCAAGUCAGAUGUAAAAGGCACCAGCUCAACUGGUGUAAGCAUUUGAAACUGGCAAUCUAGAGAUCGGUAGAGGUAAGAAGAACUCAUAGUGUAGCGGUGAAAUGCGUAGAUAUUAUGAGGAACACCAGUUGCGAAGGCGUCUUACUGGACCGAAUCUGACACUGAGGUGCGAAAGCGUGGGUAGCGAACGGGAUUAGAUACCCUCGUAGUC
rnacentral:rRNA from 1 species